rnacentral:rRNA from 1 species
AGGGUUCGAUUCUGGCUCAGGAUGAACGCUGGCGGCGUGCUUAACACAUGCAAGUCGAACGGGAUCCAUCAGGCUUUGCUUGGUGGUGAGAGUGGCGAACGGGUGAGUAAUGCGUGACCGACCUGCCCCAUACACCGGAAUAGCUCCUGGAAACGGGUGGUAAUGCCGGAUGCUCCGACUCCUCGCAUGGGGUGUCGGGAAAGAUUUCAUCGGUAUGGGAUGGGGUCGCGUCCUAUCAGGUAGUCGGCGGGGUAACGGCCCACCGAGCCUACGACGGGUAGCCGGCCUGAGAGGGCGACCGGCCACAUUGGGACUGAGAUACGGCCCAGACUCCUACGGGAGGCAGCAGUGGGGAAUAUUGCACAAUGGGCGCAAGCCUGAUGCAGCGACGCCGCGUGCGGGAUGACGGCCUUCGGGUUGUAAACCGCUUUUGAUCGGGAGCAAGCCUUCGGGUGAGUGUACCUUUCGAAUAAGCACCGGCUAACUACGUGCCAGCAGCCGCGGUAAUACGUAGGGUGCAAGCGUUAUCCGGAAUUAUUGGGCGUAAAGGGCUCGUAGGCGGUUCGUCGCGUCCGGUGUGAAAGUCCAUCGCUUAACGGUGGAUCUGCGCCGGGUACGGGCGGGCUGGAGUGCGGUAGGGGAGACUGGAAUUCCCGGUGUAACGGUGGAAUGUGUAGAUAUCGGGAAGAACACCAAUGGCGAAGGCAGGUCUCUGGGCCGUUACUGACGCUGAGGAGCGAAAGCGUGGGGAGCGAACAGGAUUAGAUACCCUGGUAGUCCACGCCGUAAACGGUGGAUGCUGGAUGUGGGGCCCGUUCCACGGGUUCCGUGUCGGAGCUAACGCGUUAAGCAUCCCGCCUGGGGAGUACGGCCGCAAGGCUAAAACUCAAAGAAAUUGACGGGGGCCCGCACAAGCGGCGGAGCAUGCGGAUUAAUUCGAUGCAACGCGAAGAACCUUACCUGGGCUUGACAUGUUCCCGACAGCCGUAGAGAUAUGGCCUCCCUUCGGGGCGGGUUCACAGGUGGUGCAUGGUCGUCGUCAGCUCGUGUCGUGAGAUGUUGGGUUAAGUCCCGCAACGAGCGCAACCCUCGCCCUGUGUUGCCAGCACGUCAUGGUGGGAACUCACGGGGGGACCGCCGGGGUCAACUCGGAGGAAGGUGGGGAUGACGUCAGAUCAUCAUGCCCCUUACGUCCAGGGCUUCACGCAUGCUACAAUGGCCGGUACAACGGGAUGCGACACGGCGACGUGGAGCGGAUCCCUGAAAACCGGUCUCAGUUCGGAUUGGAGUCUGCAACCCGACUCCAUGAAGGCGGAGUCGCUAGUAAUCGCGGAUCAGCAACGCCGCGGUGAAUGCGUUCCCGGGCCUUGUACACACCGCCCGUCAAGUCAUGAAAGUGGGUAGCACCCGAAGCCGGUGGCCUAACCCUUUGUGGAUGGAGCCGUCUAAGGUGAGACUCGUGAUUGGGACUAAGUCGUAACAAGGUAGCCGUACCGGAAGGUGCGGCUGGAUCACCU